rnacentral:rRNA from 1 species
AACGAACGCUGGCGGCGUGCUUAACACAUGCAAGUCGAACGUGAAGAGGGCUUCGGUCCUCGGAAAGUGGCGCACGGGUGAGUAACACGUGGAUAAUCUACCCGACGAUCCGGGAUAACAUUUCGAAAGGGGUGCUAAUACCGGAUAAGCUCACAGGCUCUUCGGAGCCUGCGGGAAAAGGUGGGGACCUUCGGGCCCACUGUCAUCGGAUGAGUCCGCGGCCCAUUAGCUAGUUGGUGGGGUAAUGGCCUACCAAGGCGACGAUGGGUAGCUGGUCUGAGAGGAUGAUCAGCCACACUGGAACUGAGACACGGUCCAGACUCCUACGGGUGGCAG